rnacentral:rRNA from 1 species
UCAAUCUCGUGCGGCUAGGAGCCGCCUGUCCCUCUAAGAAGAUUCAUGUGUACGCCGGCAGUGACGGUCGCGCUCACCCAACCGGGCGGCGCGGCGNNNACCCGACGCGCGCCGACACCGGCCGGCGGGAGGCGCGAGCCUUCGAGAUGCCGGUAAGUUACGCCUAGUUAGCAGGCCAGAGUCUCGUUCGUUAU